rnacentral:siRNA from 1 species
GCUGUAGACAUGGAGGCCAGGUAA